UGGGAGAACUGGGUUACUGGCUUUUUUCACCGGACAUGGAUGAUGUUAGCAAAGAAAGGACUUCACAUUUCUAUGGACUUUUGACCCCAGAUGAUGAAAGCUGAUCAUGUGAUUGGACGGCAGGGCGCUGCCUCUACAUGACUGGAGCCUUUAUAAGAUCAGAGGAAUCAGAACAUCAUUGAUCCAGAGCUGCUGACUGUUUGUCCGAGUCCAUUUCAACAAAGACAAGAAGAAACAGCCAUGAACGUCACACUGAUGGUGGUGUUGGCCGCUCUGCUGCUCUGUGCCUCGGAGGCAUCAGGACCGGCGCCAGGAUGGCAGUGUCGAGCCUACGGGGGGAAAUGUGCCCCUGCAUCCAAAUGCAGGGGCCUCUACGACGUUCCAUGUCCCUCUGGAAAAAAGUGCUGUCGCAGAACAAGAUGAUCCUCUCAGGCUCACAUGUUGGUUUUCUGGAUGAUGUGUCAGUCAGCUCCACGCAGGCUGACGCUCACAGAUCUGCUUCACCUGCACAACCCCCACCCAGACUGUUACACCUUGACUUUACCAUCUGCAAACCCAGAAUUUAUGCUUAAUCUGAGAGAUUAGCUGUCAUAAUGAGAUGUUAAGUGUGCAGCUGUGCAAAAAUAAAACAAAAUGACUCUUCAUGAAAA